rnacentral:tRNA from 1 species
GGCUCUAUAGCUCAGCGGUAGAGCGCCGCUCUCAUGAGGCGGAGGUCCCGAGGUCAGCACUCGGUAGAGCCA